GCCCAGAAAGGCAACACAGACCUAAAAACCCACAAUCCUUUCUCUCCCCUUCUUUUGUUCAGACUUCCUCUUUAUUUUUCACAUCUCCUUUUUUUCUGUCUACAAAAUUAAACCAUAUUUGUGGCUGGAAAUUUGGAAAAUGCACAAGAUUACAAAGAAGAAAAUUUGUCAUCCCAAGAUAAAAAUACUGCUCAAAAUGAUCUUUCUCCAGAUUGUAUUCUCUGCACAUUGUAAAAGUAUGUUUUUUUCCAAAAGAAAUUACGACCACCUGUUUCCACUGAAUGAUACAUCAUGAGGGGCAAAGAUGGCAAAAGAAUCGUGGAAUCCACGUGGGGUCUCACUCUGUUGCCCAGGCUGGAGCACAGUGGCAUGAUCACAACUCACUGCAGCCUUGACCUCCCAGGUGCAAGCAAUCCUCCUGCUUCAGCUUGGUGAGUAGCUAGGACCACAGGUGCACACCACCACGCCUAAUUUUUUGCAGAGAUGGCAUCUGGCUAUGUUGCCCAGGCUGAUCUUGAACUCUGGGGUUCAAGUGACCCUCCUGCCUCAGUCUUCCAAAGUGUGGGGAUGACAGGCAUGAGCCACUGCGCCCGGCUCAAACACCUUUCUUUCCAUUCCUGGAAAUGCUGAAAUCCAGUCUCCAGUGCUUCUAACAUGGGGUCGUCUCCAGUUCCCCUCUCAACCACCAGUCCUCUGUCUGGUCCUCUACUCUUUGAUUCUCCAGUGCACCUGAGACCACUGGGUCUCAAAUAAAGCAUCUCCCAGUUUCUCAGCUGACCAUUGGCCUCCUUUAUGAACUUUGUUUUGUACACAUCUGUAUCCUCAGCGCCUAGCAAAACUGGCUGUCAGGAAAUGCUCACUGAGCAAACAAACGUGGCCCCACUAGGAGCCUCACAUCCUCAUUGAUCACAUGACGAGAGUAAAAUUUACCUUGGAGGUAAGAGGCCCAAGAGAAGACACAGCAAGUUCUCAGUAACAAUCACUAUUAGAACUGGGGUAACUGGUCAAAGUGGCUGGGGGAGGGGAGGGCUUAGAGGCCUCCUACAGGCAUCCUGGAUGUGGCAUGUAAUUAGUGCUCAUAAAAGACGGUUCUAUUGAGGAGUGAAAAUGGAACCCCUAAAUAAACUAGUAUGAAAUAACGCAAAAAAAAAAAAAGACAAUUCCAACUAUUGUAGAAGUGAUCACCUCAACACACAUCGCCUCCUUUCCAAACCCUGGGAGAAAGGAGUUCCAACGAGAGGACAUGAGUAUGACAGCAAAGGAGGUGUUCAGGUCUGAGCCAACCUGGCAGGAAGUGAGUGCCUCGCCCAGCCACCCGGCCUCCCCACCUCCCUCCCUCCUCACACUUCCCAUCGAUCUUCAUUGCCAUUUCCUGGGUUUGCACAUUUCCUGGGUUUGCACAAGGCUGCCUCUGGAGACAGCAUGGCUUCUUUCUCAGCUGGCCUUUGGUGUCAGUGCUGGUAUCACCCGCCUCCUGGCGCUGCACACUGCCCAUCAUCACGCACCCAGGGCCUCAGGAUGCUGCUGAGAGCACCCCGGUCCACAGCCAGGUGGGAGAGCACACUGACAGACCGGCUGAACACCUGUCAGACCUCUGAGAACUCUCCUGCAAAGCUUUGGAGGGACGAGUCCACCUGGCACAGAGAUCAAACUCUCCCAGCAUCUCCCUUGAGGUUACAUCAUCCAUGCACCUGCAUUCCUGGACAUCCUGUGAAACCUGAUGGUAACCAACUACACACCAGGAGAGUUUGAAAAAUACCUGGCCUGAUGCAAGAAUCAAAAGAUGGAAAGGAAAAAACAGGAAUGGCAACAUAGGAAAGGCAACCUGUGAUGGCAAAUAAACUUCAAACUCCUUUAGCAGAAUGUAUCGCAGAAGCAGAGAAAUGGAUCACAGCCAAUUAAUUGAACUCUAUAUCCUAUCAAUAUUAACAUGCCACUUCAGAAAAAUCGAGAUUGCUCAAAAACUGCUAGUUACGUGGUCCUGUGGCCUACCACCCUAAGACCAGAAUUCUUACAUCAACAGGGAUGUAUAAAACACUAUUUUUAAAAAAGCACAAAACACUAUUUUUAAAAAAGCACGAAUACUUAAUCUCACAAACAAAAUGUUUUGACCAUUAGUAUUCUUUGGGAGAAAAAAAUAAAAUUUU
rnacentral:lncRNA from 1 species